rnacentral:rRNA from 1 species
UAAGCCAUGCAUGUCUAAGUAUAAACGAUUUAAUCGUGAAACCGCGAAUGGCUCAUUAUAACAGCUAUAAUUUACUUGAUCUUGACACAAUCCUACUUGGAUAACUGUGGUAAUUCUAGAGCUAAUACAUGCAUUAAAGCUCUGACCUCACGGGAAGAGUGCAUUUAUUAGAACAAAACCAAGCGGCUUCGGCUGUUUCUGGUUGACUCAUAGUAACUGAGCUGAUCGCAUGGUCUUGCACCGGCGACGUGUCUUUCAAGUAUCUGCCGUAUCAACUUUCGAUGGUAGUGUAUCUGACUACCAUGGUGAUCACGCGUAACGGAGAAUAAGGGUUCGGCUCCGGAGAGUUCGCCUGAGAAAUCGCGAACACAUCUAAGGAAGGCAGCAGGCGCGAAAAUUACCCACUCUCAGCACGAGGAGGUAGUGACGAAAAAUAACGAGACCGUUCUCUUAUGAGGCCGGUCAUCGGAAUGGGUACAAUUUAAACCCUUUAAC